rnacentral:lncRNA from 1 species
AUGGGGGACGAUGUGCACCCGCAACAAACUACCAACACUGGAGAGGAGCCCCUGGAUGUUAUCGGGCUCAGCCUAGAUGAGUGAGUUUAUGUGAAAAUGAGAAAUGACCGAGAGCUUCAAGGCAGAUCACAUGCUUAUGAUCAACAUUUAAAUAUGAUCUUGGGAGAUGAGGAAGAAACCGCGACUACUAUAGAAAUUGAUGAAGAAACAUACGAAGAGAUAUAUAAAUCAAGGAAACAGAAUAUUCCAAUGCUCUUUGUCCUGGGAGAUGGU